GGGCAGGAAGUGCCGUGAAGAUGCUCCAGGCCUCAGGGGCGCUGCUCCCUAUCACUCCCAGUGAGAGGACAUCAAGGCCAUGGACUGAGGGUGCCACCAGUGCCCUAGCCCUCAGGGGUGUGCCAGCACACGCCAUUUAUAUCGUGCUCAGGAAUGAACCCAGAGCUUCAUGCAUGCCAGGCACACGCGCCACCACCUGAGGUCGUCUGUUCUUUGUCUUUUCCCGGGGCUGUGACAGACAGCCCCAUGUUUGGAUAGUUCUGCUGCUGAUGGGAUCAUGGACUCAUCUUGGGAUAGAGACAUGACAAUCUGGAAGACACUGUGUGCACAGGAACUCCCCUCCAUCAGAAGUUGCACAGUGCUAGCAAGAUCAGAAUAAAGAACCCUGGGAAACAUGAGUCCCGCUUCUGGCUUCUCAGGUAAUAAUUGCAAUGGUGGAUGUGCCUAGGGUAGCAAGGCCUUUCCUGUGUAGCUAACGUGCAGGGAAUAGCCAUGCUACUUCAGUAAUUUCCAAGAGUGUGGACCCCAGGAGCCUUGCUCUCCCGAUAAAGUUCAGGAGUGAGAUUGCUCCACCUACCCGUCUUGGAGGCUGAGAAGAGUUGAGAAAGAGAAGGCACAGCUGCCGAUGCUCCCAGAAAUGCACUGUCACCAUCCCCAUCCCAAACCGCCUGUGGACACAGACUGGAUUCAUCCGCUUUUAAAACAGUUGCUGCCAAAGCAAAACUACCAACUCUAGACUGUUUAACCACACAAGUUUAUUUCCUGUUCUUGGAAAAUUUGAGUCAGCUUACCCUACCCCUCGCCCAGGCUGAAGAUGCCUGAAGUUCACUGUAGGUUGCAGGAAACCACAUGGUGGCCCCUACAAUCUCAGCUCUGAGGGUCCAUGUGUCACAUAAACUCACAUCAUCAUGGGAGGACAGAGACAUAACACUCUUUGCUGCAGUAACACAGCUGUUGGGGUGACAGCUCUGUUCUAGUGUGUUUUGGUGAUCUAGUGACCCCUAGUGACUGUGUGGAGACAGCUCUGCUCUGUGAGUUCUGUGGAUCCAGGAACCUCAGUGACCUUAGGGACUCCAGUCACAGCAGGAAGGUUAGACUAAAUUCAAGUGUAUUUAUGGACAAGGGUUGGGGGCCAUUUUCUGUGGGAAGUAAGCAGCAUGGCCAUCAAGUUGGCUCCUGGAGAUAGCAUGUCUUCCAGACAGGUCUUGGAGAUUGGACCACAGGAAUAGAAUGGACGAUAGUGAGGGGGUGACAGAUUCUACAUGAGGUUGAUGGGACACUGUCCAAGUUAAUUUAGUCGCAGCCGUCAACAUAAUGGCUCUUUCUCUUAUUUCUUUAUACUUACUGACAUCUUUCCAAAGAUAUAACUUUGAUUUUAUUUGGAAUAGGCAUUUGAUUUUUGUUUUUAAUUAAAUUAAUUAAAAUUUUGACAAAGUUUCUCUGGCUCCCAGGCUGGUUUCCAACCCUUGAUCCUCCUGUCUCAGCCUCCCAGUUGCUAGGGUUAUAGGUAUAUAUCACUACUUAGGGCUAUUGUUUUUUAUUUUUUGGUUCUCUCAGACAAGUUCUUACUAUGUAACUCAGUUGGACUGAAACACUCAAUGUAGGUCAGGCUGGCAUUGAACUUGUGGCCAUACUCUUGUCUCAACAUCCUGAAUGUGGGGUUAGAUACAUGUGUUAUCAUGUUGACUUGUUGGUUUGCUUUAUAAGAAUUAAUUCUGGGGCUGGGAGACAGAUCUGUAGGUAAAGUGCUUGCAAGUAUGAGGAUCUGAGUUCAAUCCUUGGAACACAGGGCUAAAAAACUCAAGGCGUGGGGGUACAGGAUUAUAAUCUCACUGCUGAGAAAGUGGAGGCAGGUGUAGUCCUAGGGCUCACUGGACAGCCACCCCAGUCAAUCAGCCAUGAGAGACCCUAAGUCUCAAUAAAAAAAUUCCAAAGGGCACAGUACCUGAGAAAUUAUACCUAGUCACUCCAUACUCACACACACACAUACACACUCACACACACGCACACAUACACACACAUGCACCCUCACACAUGCACACAUUCACAUGCACACACAUGCACAUUCACACACAUGCACACACACACACACCAUAUCUGCUCUCUAGAACCCUUCUUCAGCACUGCUAUGACAUUUUUUUCAAGCGCAUUGCCUUGAAUUGUCUAUAAAUGUUACUGAGUGGAAAGCACUGGUCAGAGGAGGACUCUUCUCUAUGGACAGCAGAAACAAGGAAGUUGACCUUUAGAAGGAGACAACCAGCAAAUUUGUGUAAAACAGCUGAUCUUGACAGGAAGGAUGGAGCCAUGGAGAUCUGGCAAAACAGAGAAGGAGAAUGGCACAACGAAAUAUUGUUUUGCUUCCUCUCCCUCCUCCCCUUGCUCCUCCUCCUCCCCACCCCUCCUCUUUGUCAUUUUCCCAGUCCUCUUGACACAGGGUCUAGCUAUAUAUUCCUGGCUGACCUGACACCAGCUGUAGUCCACCUGGUCUCAGACUUAGAAAGAUCUUCCUGUCUCUCCCACACAAGGUCAGGAUCACCCCAUUAGUCUCUUCUGCAUUCUUCAAUUCUAAGAAUGAGGAUGUUGACCUGGUCAGAAUGUCUGAGAGGAAUUAGAAUACAAAGAGUGAUGUCAUGAAGGUCAAGGCUAGGAUAAAUAAUGCAGAGUGACCUUGAGCUGCUGGUGCUGCUGCCUGAUGCUCAGUUGGGAAUCUGAUGAGGCAUGUAGGAAGCCAAGCACUCAGGCUGGACUCUCUCCAUGCUUAGACACUGAUGCCUGGAAGGAGACACCUGAAAUCAGGAUCUUGGAAAGCGGGUGGUUACCCUGAUGCCCUGGGAAGGAGAUCAGAGGAAUCUGGUGUCUUGAUGCAACUGUCUCCCCCUUCCCAGAAUAAGCAGUAGGACAAAGCUGCAAGCAGAGCAUUUGUGUCCACUAACCCAUGAUUCUCUUAAAAUCAGGGCCCACACUGGGUAUGCUCUUAUGCCUUGCUCAUGACAGGUAGAGUAAAUAGAACUACACAUUUGACAGCACGCUUCAGAGACUAUAGAAACUAGCGACUUAUUUUUAGAUCCUGCCAAAGUCUGGUGAGGUCUGCACUCCACAGAGCCAGGGUUCCAGGCUUCUGCUGUCUUCCUAUUGGGUAAGCUCUCAAGAUUUGACCUCGCCUGUCCGUCUAAGAUGGUCAUUCGUGCAAGAGUCAGGGAGGGCAGCAAGGUGAUGGCAAGAGCUUUCCCUGGGGUGGAGCUGAUUCACACUCACCCACAACUGUCUGGCCACAUGAUCAAACAAAGACACAGAAACACAUAGAGUUGCCAUGGAGAAAAGAAGAAACAGACAAGAUACCUCUUGCCAAGCUCUACCCUGCAGUGAGAAGCAAAUAUGUCAUUGAGAAACAACCUGCAGAUACUAGAAGAGGAAGUGUGUGUGUGUGUCUGUGUGUGUGUGUGUGUGUCUGUGUGUCUGUGUGUGUGUGUGUCUGUGUGUGUGUGUGUCUGUGUGUGUGUGUGUGUGUGUAGAUAUAUCACAUGCUCACCACAACAAUUCCACAGCUACAAAUACAUGUAACGUGCCUAGCAGGGCAUCUCUGGACCUGUGGCACCCUACCUGUGUCUCUUCAGGGUCUUCCAUUGCGAUCCAGGCCUCUCCAAGCAGCAGGAUAGAUGUAGGUCCCUCUCAGUGAGUGGAGACAGGUUCUGUGAGCAAACACGUACUGUGUGCUGGAUGACAGACUGAAUAAAUAGAAGAAAAGGAAGUGGAGACCCAACAUUCACCUCUUUCUGCUCUCUACUCAUGGUUACAGCAUCACCAUCCACCUCAUACCCACCCUGUGCCACUUCCACAAUGCCCACCUAAAUCCCCUCAAGCCAUGAGCUAAAAGAAUCCCCUCCUUCCUGACGCUUUUGUCAUUGUUUGAUCACAGUAAGAUGAAAUUAACUAAUACAAGGCCUUUAGGGGAAAGGAAGAAAAGAAGAGAAAGACAGACAGGUGAUAGUGUCUAGUAAGUGCAUGUCAUCUUGAUACAAACUAUCGACUCCGGGAAGAAAGAAUCUCUAUUGAGCAACUGGCUCCAUCAGAUUGACCCAGUGGACACAUCCCUACAAUAUUUCCUUGGUUGAAAAUUGAUAUGGAAGAGCUCAUCCCACGAUUGUGAUGCUACCAUGUCCUGGGUUCUAUAAGACAGCAGGCUGAGCAGCCUCUAGAAGAAGCCAGUAAGCACUGCUCCCCUUGGCCUCUGCUUCAGUUCCUGCCUCCAGGUUCCUGCUGAGUUCUUGCCCACUUCCUUCAAAACGGACCAUGACAUGGAAGCCAAAUAAAUGUUUUCCUUGCACCAGA